UACGUAGGGUGCGAGCGUUGUCCGGAAUUAUUGGGCGUAAAGGGCUCGUAGGCGGUUUGUCGCGUCGGGAGUGAAAUCCACUGGCUUAACCUGGGAACUGCAUCCGAUACUGGAUGGCUUGAAUCCGGGAGAGGGAUGCGGAAUUCCAGGUGUAGCGGUGAAAUGCGUAGAUAUCUGGAGGAACACCGGUGGCGAAGGCGGCAUCCUGGACCGGCAUUGACGCUGAGGAGCGAAAGCCAGGGGAGCAAACGGG
rnacentral:rRNA from 1 species